rnacentral:rRNA from 1 species
ACGCAACGAGCGCAACCCUUGUCAUUAGUUGCCAUCCUUAAGUUGGGCACUCUAAUGAUACUGCCGGUGAUAAACCGGAGGAAGGUGGGGAUGACGUCAAGUCCUCAUGGCCCUUAUGAGCAGGGCUUCACGCGUCAUACAAUGGUCGGUACAAACGGUUGCGAAGCAGUGAUGUGUAGCUAAUCCGAAAAAGCCGAUCUCAGUCCGGAUUGUAGUCUGCAACUCGACUACAUGAAGUCGGAAUCGCUAGUAAUCGCAGAUCAGCAUGCUGCGGUGAAUACGUUCCCGGGUCUUGUACACACCGCCCGUCACACCAUGGGAGUGGAGGAUACCAGAAGUUGUUAGGCUAACCGCAAGGGGGCCGAUUACCACGGUAUGUUUCAUGAUCUGGGGUGAAGUCGUAACAAGGUAUC